rnacentral:lncRNA from 1 species
GGACACAAAAUACGGUGUUCUGCAUGCCUUAUACCAAUUGUCCGAUGCAGGGAAAAAAAAAAUGAAAAUACAAUAAAAUCUGUUCACAAAGUGAUAUAUUUCAUUUAGAACUGGUUAUAGUUAUGCGCUACUUAGCUUCUUUUUGUUCCUAUUCAAGUCUUAGUCAUGGUUUUGAUACGUUACGGAGCUUCUCUAUGUACCCGUUUGGAAAUGUUUUUUUUUCUUCUUUAAACAUUGACAUUUUGAUGAAUGUUUCAAUAUAAGUAUAUACAC